rnacentral:rRNA from 1 species
CUUGAGGUAUCCGCUUUAUUAGGGAGAAUGCCCUCCGUAGUGGGUUAUCAACCUACUCUUAGUACAGAAAUGGGUUCUUUGCAAGAAAGAAUUGCUUCUACUAAAAAGGGAUCUAUAACUUCGAUUCAAGCAGUUUAUGUACCUGCAGACGAUUUGACCGACCCUGCCCCUGCCACAACAUUUGUACAUUCGGAUGCUACUACCGUACUUUUUAGAGGAUUAGCUUCCAAGGGUAUUUGGAUGGCUUAG